rnacentral:lncRNA from 1 species
GUAGCAGAGUGCAGGAAGAGGAAUGAACUGCUUUACUAUUUGUAGGAAUUUAAAUUUUGCACUUUGCAUUUCAGGUGACCCAGAUGAGUAUAGCGUAUGCUAGAAGAUUUCCUUUCAACUGUACAAACACUUCAGGAUUGCUCCCUGUGUGUGAAGGGAAAACAGAAGUUGUAUGAUAAAGACUUUUUGUCCACAACGUCUGAAGACUAAUAACCUUAGUGCUCUGCUAAGAAACAGAGCCUUGUAAGAUUCAAGGAAAUCACCUUAUCUGUCUUUUAUCCUGUUUGGAAGCAUCUAAAGAAAAACUGGAGACUGCAGUGACAUACAAAGAACUGAAAGCAGGGAAAAUUGGCCUCUCUAUUUUGGAAGACUUUUGUCUAUGAUUUAUGGAUGUAAGGGCCUUCCCACCUUCUGUCUAUAAGCUGGAUGAAAUAUAUUGCUCUUUUGGAUGGCUGUCAUCCAGAAACAAGACAACAUGAGCUAAUCUCCGUAGAGAAUGGGACAUCAUAUCCUGACCUUGGUACACAGCAGCUGGAUAUCUAGAGCCUGCCGGUCCUGAGGGAGUCCCAGAGACCUACUUGAUGAUGGGAGUGUUUCACAGCUGUAAGAGACUCGGAUUGUUAAACAAUGAUUUGAGCUAUAACAUAUUUUAGUGAAGAGAUUCUUAAAACCCUGAGGUUUUCUAAUUGCCAACAGCCUGCUUGCUUAUCGCUGGAAACCUGCAAGCUCCUAUAUUGUAGCAUGAGGUAGUGAAAGCCUGUCUUUAACGUGUAAUUUAAUUAUAAGGAAAUUAU